UACGUAGGGGGCAAGCGUUGUCCGGAAUCAUUGGGCGUAAAGAGCGUGUAGGCGGCCAGAUAAGUCCGCUGUGAAAUCUCGAGGCUCAACUUCGAGCUGUCGGUGGAAACUGUCUGGCUAGAGUCCGGAAGAGGAGAAUGGAAUUCCUGGUGUAGCGGUGAAAUGCGCAGAUAUCAGGAAGAACACCCGUGGCGAAGGCGGUUCUCUGGACCGAGACUGACGCUGAGGCGCGAAAGCGUGGGGAGCAAACAGG
rnacentral:rRNA from 1 species